rnacentral:lncRNA from 1 species
CUCUGAUGAUGAGAGAACUGUUGAGGAGACGAGUAGUGACGGUGCUGUGUCAAAGCUUGACUACAGAAGAAGGAGACAUUCAUCUGGCAGGAAGGGGAAGAGGAGGCGUUUGUACCAAAACAAAAGGAAUGACUCCUACAUUAGCACAAAGAAAGAUCGGGGCAAGAGCAGAACAGAUGAAGAUCAACUCAAAGAGCUGAGCAUGUCACUUCCUGAGCUUCAACGGCAAAAAACAGCCACACUUUAUACUCUGAAGAAGCUAAGAGAGGAAAUGGAUCAAGCUAAGAGCGAGCAUCACUCUCUCCAGCUCAGUGUGAAGGACAGCAGUGCACAGGCUCAGAACAUCACGUGUGAGCUCCAAAGACUGCAGGCCCAGAGGAACUUAUGCUUGAAGGAGGUCAGGGUUCUGCAGGAGCAACAGUGUGCAAGUCGCAGUGUGUCUGUUCUGGAGAGGGAAGAGAUGGACAGACUGCUGGAUAAUGCCAAGUCAGAACUGUUCUCAGAACAGAGGCGUUUCAGACACAAACUGGACUCUAUGCAUGAGAGGCUGGAUGAGGUGAGUCAGGAGCUGGAGCAGAGCGAGGAGGACUGCAGGGCUCUCCGACAGAAAUGCACUGAGCUGGAGGAGCAGCUGGCUGAUACAAUCAGAGAAAAAGAACAAAUAAAGCAGACUUCUCAGAAAGAUCUAGAGCAGCAGGUGAAGUCUCAGUCUACAAUAAUAAUAGUUUUUGUAUAUCUGAUACAGACUGCAGACACUAUCAAUUUCAGUACAAUAUGUGUGCAGACUUCUCAGAAAGAUCUAGAGCAGCAGGUGAAGUGUUUGGAGUGCUGGAGCGAAUCGUUGCUCAGAAGGAGCUGCUUUUGCAGGGAACCGAAGACGCAAAGGAAGGCCUUCUUCAGGAGCUCUGUUCACUGA